rfam:Triticum urartu cultivar G1812 contig802967, whole genome shotgun sequence.
UUACUACUCCCUUCAUUUCAAAAUUCUUGUCUUAUAUUUGUCUAAAUACGGAUGUAUCAAGUCAUGUUUUAGUAUUAGAUACAUUCUUAUCUAGACUAAUUUAAGACAAGAAUUUUGAGACGGAGUGAGUACUAG